GUUUGCUUCAACAGAACAUACACUAAAAUUACAAUGCUACAAAGAAGAUUAGCAUAGCCUCUGUACAAGAAUGGCACACAGAUUUGUAAAGUGUUCCAUAUCCAA